GCGGGGAUAGCUCAGUUGGGAGAGCAUUAAACUAAAGAUCUAAAGGUCACAUGUUCGAUCCACGUUCAACGCA